rnacentral:sRNA from 1 species
GUUCAAUUGUAUGUGUUCUUAUUU